rnacentral:rRNA from 1 species
UGGGGAAUAUUGGACAAUGGGGGCAACCCUGAUCCAGCCAUGCCGCGUGAGUGAUGAAGGCCUUCGGGUUGUAAAGCUCUUUUGGCGGGGACGAUGAUGACGGUACCCGCAGAAUAAGCCCCGGCUAACUUCGUGCCAGCAGCCGCGGUAAGACGAAGGGGGCUAGCGUUGUUCGGAAUUACUGGGCGUAAAGCGCGUGCAGGCGGUUGCCAAAGUCGGGUGUGAAAGCCUUGAGCUUAACUCAAGAAAUGCACUCGAUACUUGGUGACUAGAGGACCGGAGAGGAUAGUGGAAUUCCCAGUGUAGUGGUGAAAUACGUAGAGAUUGGGAAGAACACCAGUGGCGAAGGCGGCUAUCUGGACGGUUUCUGACGCUGAGACGCGAAAGCGUGGGGAGCAAACAGGAUUAGAUACCCGUAGUC